GACGAACGCUGGCGGCGUGCUUAACACAUGCAAGUCGAACGGAAAGGCCCUGCCUUUGUGGGGUGCUCGAGUGGCGAACGGGUGAGUAACACGUGAGUAACCUGCCCGGGAGUGUGGGAUAACUUCAGGAAACUGGGGCUAAUACCGGAUAGGAGUUCCUGUUGCAUGGCGUUUGUUUGAAAGGUUCGGCGGUUUGGGUUGGACUCGCGGCUUAUCAGUUUGUUGGUGGGGUAGUGGUUUACCCAGGCUUUGACGGGGAGCCGUCCUGAGAGGGUGACAGGCCACAUUGGGACUGGGGUAGGGCCAAGACUGAUACGGGGGGAAGCAGUGGAAGAUAUUGCAAGCUGGGCGGAAGGAGGGUGCAGCGACGCCGCGUGGUAGAUGACGGCCUUCAGGUUGUAACCCGCUUUAGCGUGUGAAGAAGAGUGAGUGACGGUAAUGGGUAAAGAAGCAACGGCUAACUACGUG
rnacentral:rRNA from 1 species